rnacentral:rRNA from 1 species
UGCCAGCCGCCGCGGUAAUACGGAGGGGGUUAGCGUUGUUCGGAAUUACUGGGCGUAAAGCGCACGUGGGCGGACUAUUAAGUCAGGGGUGAAAUCCCGGGGCUCAACCCCGGAACUGCCUUUGAUACUGGUAGUCUAGAGACCGGGAGAGGUAAGCGGAAUUCCUAGUGUAGAGGUGAAAUUCGUAGAUAUUAGGAAGAACACCAGUGGCGAAGGCGGCUUACUGGACCGGUACUGACGCUGAGGUACGAAAGCGUGGGGAGCGAACAGGAUUAGAUA